GAUGAAGAACGCAGCGAAAUGCGAUACGUAAUGUGAAUUGCAAAUUCAGUGAAUCAUCGAGUCUUUGAACGCACAUUGCCCCCCCUGGUAUUCCGGGGGGCAUGCCUGUCCGAGCGUCAUUGCUGCCCUCAAGCACGGCUUGUGUGUUGGGCCCCGUCCUCCGAUCCCGGGGGACGGGCCCGAAAGGCAGCGGCGGCACCGCGUCCGGUCCUCGAGCGUAUGGGGCUUUGUCACCCGCUCUGUAGGCCCGGCCGGCGCUUGCCGAUCAACCCAAAUUUUUAUCCAGGUUGACCUCGGAUCAGGUAGGGAUACCCGCUGAACUUAAGCAUAUCAAUAAGCGGAGGA
rnacentral:misc_RNA from 1 species